rnacentral:rRNA from 1 species
CCUACGGGAGGCAGCAGUGGGGAAUAUUGGACAAUGGGGGGAACCCUGAUCCAGCGACGCCGCGUGAGUGAAGAAGUAUUUCGGUAUGUAAAGCUCUAUCAGCAGGGAAGAAAAUGACGGUACCUGAGUAAGAAGCCCCGGCUAACUACGUGCCAGCAGCCGCGGUAAUACGUAGGGGGCAAGCGUUAUCCGGAUUUACUGGGUGUAAAGGGAGCGUAGACGGCAGUGCAAGUCUGGAGUGAAAGGCGGGGGCUCAACCCCCGGACUGCUCUGGAAACUGUACGGCUGGAGUGCAGGAGAGGUAAGUGGAAGUCCUAGUGUAGCGGUGAAAUGCGUAGAUAUUAGGAGGAACACCAGUGGCGAAGGCGGCUUACUGGACUGUAACUGACGUUGAGGCUCGAAAGCGUGGGGAGCAAACAGGAUUAGAUACCCGUGUAGUC